ACAGCAGCGCUUGAUUCAUCAGGGGAAAAAAAUCAAUAGUGGAAUAUUCUCCACUCCACCAGUGUCCCAUUAAUCUGGCGGUAGAUUAAAGUGUCACGCAGAUCGGAGCACGGGAGCCGCGACGGAGCUGUUUUUCACUGGGCCCUGCGCCGCAGACAGUAAUUGAAGGCGUUAAUCAAUCACAGGGAUGUGUGUGAUUGUCACGUUUUAUUACCAGGACAACCGGUUAUGACAGCUUAACUGGUGGAAUGUGUGUUAAUGACUUAUCAAUAACCCACUGUGUUUGCUGAGAAGAAGCCCAUGAAUUACAAUUCUAACGAUAUUUAGGCCUCAAAGACCCGAGGACGCAGAACCCGGACUUUCUGCUGACGACUUCCUCCUCACAUCUGGCAAAGCUGCGAUCGGAAACCACCGGGGGAAUUCUGUUUGUGGAAGAGGAAGCAGCGACGCGCUCUAAGCUGUGGGCCUGGUUCUGUUGGGUCAUAAAUCUAGAGGCCGCCGCAGAACGGCUGGACGGGCCCGGUCUGUUUGUUACAGAGAGAGCGUGAGACUAGUGAAGCUGGGUUUGGUUCUGCUGCUGGCUGUGAUGUACAGUAGGUGGAGCAUGCUCAGAAGGCGCCGUUAGCAUUAGCUGGAGCUGCCUCUCCUCUGUGCUCACUGUCUGUGAGGGGUGUUUUGUAUGCGUUGCAAAUCCCGUGCUGUCGUCGGUCUGUCGAGGGUCUGAUGUGUUUCUUCAGCCGUGGCUUCCAGAAUAUUUCCCCAAAGGUGGAGAGAAAUGCCACCUGUGAGCAGCCGAGUCCUCAACUGCACUGCAGCCGUGGACGCAGCAACAAUCAGGGUCUGGAGAAAGACAAGGACCCUCCAGAAAACGAAAAAAUGCACACACAGUCAAUGGAUUUCACCACUGGUUGGCAUCAGAAUCGGUGUCUGGAACCGUGGAUCCUGUGGCUCCACAUUCAUGUGGCAGUUGAGCGGUAGAUACUGCAGAUGAAUGGCUGGUUCCGCAGUAAGUCCAGGAUUAGCAGCAUUUACUCUGCUUUAAUCUGCUGUGAGCCGGUGGGCUUCAGGUGAGCAUUUGUUAGUUUACAGGGAUUAAUGCGUGUGACACCACACAACCUCCAGGAUUAGUUCAGUCACAGUCAAAGGCAGCGCUGGACCUCUCUGUUUGGGUUCAAUCAGCUGAAAUGAGCACAGAAUGAGGAAGAAAACACUGUUGUUAGAACUCAGCUUGGUCUAUUUUUGUCCAGAAGCUGUCUUUUCUACUGACACAGAAGCUGUUUUGGUCUUGAUCUUCUUCUGAUAAAAGGAACUAAUCCCUAGUUCUGUCGCUGACGGCAGCGUUUUAAAUACUGUAGUCGUCUCCGCUGGGACUCACUGUACGACGGCAUCAGAAAUAGAAGCUGUUCAGACAGGGUCUGCUGUGAAGCGAAAGGCGUCAGUGUGAGUGAAUGCGACCUGCUAGCGCUGAUGCUACGGCGUCCGGCUAAACCACAAGCACCAUCACAGCUGCUGCUGUGGGACGGAGCCUCGUCACCACUGAUCCUCCACCGCCAGCAACAACACGCUGUCGCUGCAACACAGUGUGUGGGCGGAGCCACGGCAAGACUCCGCCCACCAGACGGCCGGUUCCCCACGGUCAAACACCCUGUUGGACUGCAUGGCAGCACCACGAGCAGCCGAUUGUCUGAUUCAUCACCAGAUACUGAGCGUCAGAGCGGCGUCCUCCAGAUCUCAUCACCGGAGUCGAGAUGCUUCAUGCUUUCUGAUGAUUUCUUCUUCUUCUUUCUGGAGAUUUCAAAUGCAAAGCACAGAAUGGCUCUGGGCCGCGCUGCUUCACCCGAGGACCCGGCGUGAACCAACACCACGGCGGAUCGGAAGACGGAUUGCGAGGCGCUGAUUCGGUGGGUUCAAGUGCAGCAAGGAGCCAUAUGUUCAGGAGACCCGGGCCCGAGCCAGAAGAUUGGUUUAUGACAGCUUGGAGAACUGGGAACUGGAUCAUGCAUGAUGAGAAGAAGCCAGGAUUAUUCCACUGGUUGAUCCACCAAAAACCACCCACAUAUGAUCCUGGUUGGUUGUUUGUUUAGUUGGUUGGUUGGUUGAUUGUUUGUUUGUUUGUUUGGUUGGUUGGUUGUUGGUUGGUUGAUUGAUUGGCUGGUUAAUUGGUUGGUUAGUUGGUUGUUGGACGGUUGGUUGUUUGUUUGUUUGAUUGAUUUGUUGGUUGUUUGAUUGAUUGGUUGGUUGUUGGUUGGUUGGUUGGUUGUUUGGUUGUUUGUUUGUUUGUUUGUUUGUUUGAUUGGUUGGUUGGUUGUUGGUUGAUUGGUUGGUUGGUUGAUUGUUUGAUUGUUUGUUUGUUUAUUUGUUUGUUUGUUUGAUUUGUUGGUUGGUUGAUUGGUUUGUGGUUGGUUGGUUGGUUGAUUGGUUGGCUGACAAACAAAUACGUCGCCUUCAUGUUGGUCAGAAACUGCCUUUAAGCAAAAUGACAGUAAUACACGUUACCGUCCAUGAGCACCGCAGGGGGCGGUCACGAAGGGGAGGAGAUGAACAGCGCUCCUCGCCUCUAAUUGAGUAGUUAGAGCAGAAGAAGAAUGGUGCCAGUGAUUCCCCUGGUCUGGAGGACAGUGGACAUAUGAGGCAGUGAAGAAGAUUGGUGGAGAAAGGCCAAGCGCAGACGGGAGCAGGAAGAGGAGGCGCUGCCAACAUCAGCACUCACUUUUAUUGUAGGACUCCAGCUAUUUUUCUUUCUUCGAUUUUCCUCCAGCUCGUUUAGAGGAAACAACUCACGACUGUAAGUCUUGGAGAUACAUAAAAGUGGGUGAACGGGUCGAGUUCAGGCGCUGCCGGUUCCAUAAAUUCCCAAUUAGGAGACGGGAGAUCAGCGGGAUCUAAUGAACCGAGGUUCUGCUGCCAAACAAACAGGACUCGGUGACAGCGUCUCUGCUUCGUCUUCCUCCGUGUCUGGCGUGACUUCACUGCUCGGCCGCUUGCACUUUACUGUCAAACGUUCUUCGAGUGCUUAACUUGUCCAGUCAUCAUGUAAAACAUGAACCUUUUCUCUGAAUUACUGGCUCAGUCCGGCCCAAAAAGCCCAUGAGCCACGGUAGGAUUUAGCUUUUCUGUGCCUUCACUUCGUCUCCUCCACCUCCACUCCACCAUUUAGCGCUUCCUCUGCUUCAUUACUGAACGCUUGCGUAGGUGUGAUGAGUUCAGACACAAUGGAGCCGUCUCCUAAUGUCAUUUCGCUGCGUUCUCGCUGCCGCUUCGCCUCGGGCAUCUUCUCCUUCCCCGCUGUUUCAUUUUGACUCUUUAAUUUUACCUUUCCCCCCUCGCCGCGUUACUUCUGACAGAUGAAGUCUGUGUGAUUGCUUGAAAUCUCCCGCUGCCGAUAAGCGACAGCUUGCAGAGGUGCGCUGAGCUCCGUGUGCAGCUGCUGCGCUGGCCGCUCCAUCAGCGCUGGGUCCAGACAGCAGACUCCCAGGGCGGUAAUGACCACUGAACAGAUGAUGAUAAUAGCAGCUAGACUAAAGACGUCCCAUAGCUCAUCUUCCCCUCAGUUUCAUUUCCCUCCUCUCUUUCCUUUGUCUCCCUCCCAACAUCUAACAUGGUUCUGGCUCUGAGCUGAAAAUCCAGCUACGUCCUCCUUUGCUGUUAAAUCCCAAGAACUCCUGUAAAAUCUGAAGGGCGAGUGCGACGUCUGCCAGCGGCCUCCGCUCUGCCCACAGGAGAUUUAACUGGUUUAACUGGUCUCCCACCUACAACCACAAGUGUCCCCGCGGCCUCUGGCUGCAAAUCAAUUAGCCGGCGCUGCAAUCGCAGAGUGCAGGUUGACUCCUGGACUCAGUCCAAGCCACUUCAUUUGCUGCUGAGCUAAUAAGAAUGAAGCUCUGCCCGGAGUCCAGGACUCUGGCCUUUUCCCUUUUUUAGCUCCAACCCAAAUGUUUUCUUGACCCUCCUAAUCAGAACUAAUGGGCACCGGCCUCCACAUCCGUCUGGUCUCCUUUGUCGCUUAUGUUGCCGCAGACCGUGAAUCCUGAUGAGAGGAACGAAGAGAGAAAGCGAACACUCUGUGUGUCUUUCUCUCACUGAGCGUUGCUGAGUGAAGGACAGAGCUGCUAUCAAUCAUAACCCACCAUGGAUUAAUGUGGGACCAUCUAGAUGAGAGCGACAGACAAGGACGAGCUCAUUCUCCUGGAUUUACUGGUGGUUGUAGUUCUACUGGGAAAAGCCCAUGUUUUGCUUUUUUAAUGGGAAUAUGAUGAAUGACUGUGUGUUAUAUGCAAAUUGGGUAUUAAAAAAGCAAAGCAGAGCUGUGUGAUGCACAGCAAUGCUGAGCGUGAUAAGACGCCGGGCAGCGUCUUCUCACUUUUAGGAGCCACAGGAUCCAAACUUUAAUAAGGACCGGUGUCUGGUUGGACCAGAACCGGUGCCAGCCCGUCUGAGCGGGAGGCCGGGCUGCUCAGGUUCUGAUGCCUGCUUCAGUUUGAGUGAAACAUCAAAUGUUCGUUUCAUUGGAACCAAAGCUGUGAGUUCCUACUUUCUUUUCGAACCCUGCAGUUUUCCCACAUCCCAGUUAUUCUUUCAAACCAAGGGCCACUUCUGUGUUUAUGUCCUGCGUAAACAUGAGGGUUCGCUCUCGGAGCGGCUGCUGGAGCAACACUCUGAGCAGCUGUGGUGACUUCCUGGAGCCUCCAGCGCUUGUUGACCAGGCUCAGGGUGAAAACCAGACUCCAGCUGUUGUAUUGUUGGCACAGACAGUUGGGACGGUGGACGGUGGAACUGUAGAGGGUCCGUUUCCACGUGGGGUUUGUUGUACAGCUUUGUUCUGUUUGACGCAUGUGGGAAACCCCUGCUCCACUAAUGUUUGGAUUAAUUAGCGACUCUCAUCCUCUGACGUCCUCCAGCAGGACGUUUUAUCACUCCAGCCUGUGUCUGUUUACCAAAGGAACCAGAUAUCAGCUGACAAAAUGUCCUCCCCCUCUCCUUCCUUGGCACUUUUACUAGACUAAUUGAGCAAUUACGCGUGAUUGAUUGAUUGGGGAGAGUGAGACGAGGCAGACAUGCCCGGGGACGUUGAAGGAAUCCAUACGGCUUUAAAUUAGGAGCGAAGUGGCAGCAGCGAUGGAGGCGACCGCGCCCGGCUCCGGCUUCAAGAGGAGGCGGAUGAGGACAAUGCGACUGUGUGAAUGUGUGUAUACGACUGCACGGGUGGGGAGACGUACAGUAUGCGCGGCUCGGAAAUGAGAGAGCAGCCACGAGGAGGAGAGGGAGGAAGGGGAAUCGAAGGUGUAAUUAGCACGUGAGCGAUAGCACGUAGCAAGUAGCAAAGCGGCGUCUCGCCCACGUGCUCUCACUGGAGUCGUGCUUUUCAGGACGACGCGCUGUUAAACGUCUGCAGCAUCAGAUCAGACCUCAGGGAGGUGUUUGUUGUUCACGUCCUUCGCAGGCGACCUCACACUCUCAUCCUCCGACUCCGGCUCGACUUUUUGAGGUCGUUACUGAUGAGUGGCUCUGAACAAUUUACGCUUCCGUUGCUUUGGUUGUGUGACGUAUGUGCAGCCUGUACGUGUCAGAUAGCGACGCGUUCCAUCACUAGGAGACACAAAGCAGAGCAUCCAUUACGGCCUCUAAUUAUUGUGCUCACUGCUAUUUCCACCUCCACAAAAGGUCAAACACUGUCAGUGACCUCACAGGCCAUGGCUCCAUGUGUGUCAGCAUCCAUGAACCCACGGCCUGCUGCUAAACGGGCUUUUAAAUGCAUGAGAUUAUCUGUCUGAGCCGUUCCUGCACACGCGGCUCCUUCCUGUUCUUUUCCAGCCAAUUAUUGAUAUAUGAGGGUAUUAAAUAUGACACCUGUGUCACAGGAAAAUCCCCCCCGACGGGCUCGGCCUGGUGCAAGGACUGGUUUAUCCUCAGCUGCGUGGCAGAGAUGAGCUGGUGGUCGCCCACCCAGGCAGAGCCGCAUGUCUGCGUUCGCUGAGGCUCCAGCUGCAGCAAACGCAGAGCGACCGGUGUCCUGGAAGGCUGAUGUGAGAGCGCGUCAAUAAGGAAGAACACACACCUUACAGCCCGUUAGACAAGAUGCAUUACAUGCAUCCGUCUCUCAUCGGGAGCUCUCUUAUGGCCAAUUAGCUGCUGACGGUGUUUGGACAAGUGGUGUUUAGUCGAAAAACAAACAGCUUGAAAACAAGAAGAUGAUGAGAGGAACAGCCGCAAAGUUGUGGUUUAAAAAAACAAGUGGUUUAAAUGAUUCUUUAUCUGCUAUAUGACACAGAUGCCAUUAAAUCCCUUCAGAAAAAUUCAUUAUAGGGAAAUUUCCUUAUUGCUGAAGCUGUUUUUGUUGGACAGCUCGCUGCCAUUGUUCAUUGUUCUUUGGUCAUAAAUGAGCCCAGGAAUGAUUUAAAUCAGAGCAAAGGACUAAAUAACUGGCACAAGCUGCAGGUUCCUCCCUAAAGGCAGUGACUCGGUCCAAGCGAGGUUCCAGCGCUGGGCCCGGCUGCGACGGGCCUCCAGCCUCCGGUUCCGGGUCCGAACCGCCUCCUGCGUCUCAGACUCGUUCAGCACCUAAUGACGGGAGCUCGUUUGUGCAGAACGGGCUGGAUUUCUAGCUGCAAUUAAAAAAAAGGCCAAGCUGCUCCUGUUGUUGAAAGGUUUGCCCUCAGCUGAACCCCAUCUAUUAUUAUCCAAAAAUGGAUAUGAAGUGAUUAUGUGAGGCUGCUUUGUUUUGCUUGCUUCAUAUAAGGAGGCUGAUGGAAUCGGUUCCUGCUCUGCUCUCAAGGCUGCGAGCGUCUCAGUUUGAAAAGCUGCCAGUAAACAUUCUGUUUAUGGAAAAACUCUUAACCUUCUGAAUGGAACAGUGGGAACUGCUUCAUGUCAGUGUACGUAAACAUGGGGAUUUAAAUAUGAACCAUGUCUGUCACUUCAUUAGCGUCCUCUGAGCGAAUAAAGCAAUGAUAAGCAGCGAUUUCACAAACUGCUGCAAGCUUCAUGUCGCUGCAUGAUGCUCUGGCUGCGAUUACAAACACUGACGUGCAUCUUGUCUGUGAGGGUUGUUUUCAGGGCAGCAAAGGUCCUGGGGGUGCGACAUCCACACACAGGACACAAUCACUGAGCCUUCGGCUGCACCAUCAGGACAGUACAUCUCAUUUGUUUAGUUAAAUUGCUGUUGCAGGUACAGAAUUUAAUCAGCAAAUUUAAUUUCACAGCAGCAAAUCCUGUUUUUGUCCCCACACGCAGCCGCUAUCGACCAGAGGAGCAGUGUGAUCUGGCAUAUUUGAAGCAAACUGUGUGGAUUCACACUUGUUUUCAAUACGCGGUGAUGCUGGAAAGGACGGAGGUGAAGAAACGAAGCCAGAGGAAUGCUGACUCUUCCUCUUUCAGCUCAGGAGACCGUCACAGCGGAUCUGGAGCUGUAAACCAUCGCUCGCCAGAACACGAAAUGUCCAUCUUCCGUCGAGGAAACUGACCUGCAAAGUCCCGAUGAUGGUCGUUCCAGGUGGUGCGAAAGGAAGACACAGAGAAAAAAUAUAAAUCACUUCAAUUCUUUAUGCUGGGACUCAUGCACCAAAUACACACCUUAAGGGAUUUUAGGUGAGCCUCUCAUAUCCAUGUAUUAACUGCAGAGAGCAUUUGACACAAGCCAACAUAAAGCCAACAUGCAAAAAAUGUUUGUGGCUGAGCAUAAAGGAUUGAUUAUCGGUCAGAGAAAGGUGGCGCGGGUGCAAAGUGGAGCCGGUUCAGAUGAGACUAAGGUGAAUUAUACGAGGCUCCAUCGUGCACCUCUGCUCAUUACGCCCAGCGGUAAUUAAAUUCAUGCACUGAUAGGAUCCACUGCCUUUCUGCCGCCUGCUUUUUCUUCUGCACUUUGUCACUGUGGCAUUCUAUGAACGGGGAGGGGAAGCAGCGCUCACAGCUUUGGAACCGGCUGCAUGCACAUUUGUUAAUGUUACUCUAAAAGUGAUCUUUGCGAAACUGACGCAUCUCUUUUAAUUAAAAUCAUGUCCUGGAACGAAAUCAGGAGCCUGAUUCUGAUGCAUUUGAUUCUAACGUGGCUGUGAUAAAAGCACAUGUUGAUCGUCUGUGACUCUGUUAUUUCCUUUUGCUUUGUGCAGAGACCAGUCAGUUUAUGGUCUGUGAUUGGGUCAGUUACUUUUCCCUUGAAGCAAUAAAUGUUGGAGCAUUUGCAGAUAAAUUCUCAGUAGUGCUUUAUUGUACUGUCUGUUUUCCAGGGGCCCAAAACAGGCAGACGUGCAUUUAUAUUUUCCAUGUUCUCUAUGUGAACCAAAGG